UUUUCAGAUUCCUGUGGAACAGACAACCAGUCAUACAAGGGCUUUGCCAUUUGGGAAAAGUCCUGAAUGUACCUUCUAUAGUAGAUGAGGAAACCUAGCUGCUUGAGAGAAACUUCAUCAGGAACAGCCCAAAAUAUGGUCGCACCAUUGCCCAGUGACAUGAAGGUAAAGACAAUGGAUAUCCGUAUAUUCGAGAUGACCUCAAACUGCGGAAAUCAGAGCUGUGUAUCAAAUCUCAAUGUGCACAUUGCUAUGAGAAAAGGCAAUAUGUAAAAACAAUUCAGGAAAUGUGAUAUCGGGAGGUGCUAUGUGCUGAGUAAGGAUCUCAUUAGUAAGAUAUUGCAGUGGGGGCACCAUAUGAUGAUUUUGGCAAGGUGUUCAUAUAGCACGGACCCAAGAAUGGAAUAAAUACAAAGCCAGCACAGGCCCAGAUCCUCGGCUACAGCAAAGCUCAAGAAGGUGUCUGCACAAAAGUGGCUUUUGGCUCCUUUUUCUGCUUCCCCCAAUCCUGGACUGGCUGUGUGUUUAAAGGAGCCUGAGGAUUCCCAGGAAGCCAUUGUGGCACACAACAGUCACCAGGGCACAGGGAAGCCCAUCCAUAUCCUCUAUGCCGGCAGCAGGGAGGGGUGAUGGUAGAGGAUAUAUCAUGGUGCUUAGAUACCACAGUGAUGGGAAGCUUCAUAAAACCCUAAGAGGGACAUCCAAACUACCCAAUGAUCCUACUACACUGGUACAGUCUUCCUGGUUGGCUACAGUGGCUUUAGGUUUAGUUUGCACUUGACAGAGUGGCCACAUUGGCACAAAGCAUGCACUCAAUCUGGCCUAUAACAUUUAAGGGCCAAAUUCAGAAUUUCCUUGCAUCUGCCAGACCUAAGGUGGGGAAAGUCCCACCUGAAAGAAGCGCUUCUUCAGAGGCAUGGCACUUUGGAAAAGUGCAAGAGAUCUGCUGCUUUACACAGGUGCUCAGAUUUCAGUGUUUUAUAGCAUCAUAAUCUGAUUAGUUCUACAGAGGCUCCUCCAGGA